rnacentral:lncRNA from 1 species
GGAACAAGGGGGGAUUCGACCUCCUAGAGUUCAACUCCCGCUCUCAACCCAUGAACAAUAUGAGUCCGAAGCUUCUUUCGUAACUCCCAUAUUUUCUUCGUAGUGGCUCCGUUCCAUGCCUCAUUUCAUAGGGAAGCCCAAAGUGGCUCUAUUUCAUUCUAUUUCACUUCCUAGCACUUCCUAUCAUUUAAUAUCCAUCCCUUUGGUCUUAUUGACAUAAGAGAUGUCAUUUAUAGUCUAUCUCUUUCUAUAUAUGGAAAGUCAAGAAAUUCUCAUCGAAACAUCGAGAAAUUGUGCAUAUAGAAAACUCUAAAGAAAGAAAAAAAGGAGACCCAUGCCAUGAUUUUCAAAUCUUUUCUAUUUAGUAGUCUAAGUUUCUCGAUGAGGAUAAUUAAUUCGGUCGUUGUGGUCGGACUCUAUUAUGGAUUUCUGACUACAUUCUCCAUAGGUCCCUCUUAGAUCUUCUUUCUCCAAUCUUGGAUUAGGGAAGAAGGAGAUAUUCGCGACUACUGGCGUUUUCAUUAUGGGGCAGCUCAUGAUCUUCAUAUCGAUCUAUUAUCCACCUCUGUAUCUAUUCUUUCUUAGCUAAACAGGUGGAAGAUCUAUCCAAUUUGGUUAUAUUAUAUCAUGGACUCGAAAAACGGAUCUGAAUUUGACUGAAAUGCACGAUCUUCACAGGUAUCACUUUUCACGAUACCUAAAAGGUGGAAUAGCGAUUUUCGAACCAUUUCCUAUAAGAGAAUGGUUUCCAUUACUUUGAGAAAUGGAUUCUUAUAUCAAACUAUAGCUAUUGCAUUAAAGAAGAAAAGAAACUAAUAGAAGUCGAAGACGCGGAAUGAUAGUGAAUAGAGAGAAAGAUUCUUCUGAUUUUCUUGUUUCUAUCUACUAGACGCCGUAGAGAAUUGAGAAUUUUCAUGUCUUUCAAUUCUCGUACUCGUAAUUGGAAAGUUCUGGAAGGAGACCCAUCAUUUUGCAAUGAAAACAACAUAUAAAACUCUGGACAAUUUCGAAAUCAGGCCAAGCGUCUUAAUACAUAUGCAAAGAAAUUCAUUAUUGGCCCACCAUUGAUUAGAAGAUUUAGCUUGUAUGAAUCGCUAUUGGUUUGAUACGAAUAAUGACAAUCGUUUCAGUAUGUUAAGGAUACAGAUGUAUCCACAAUUCAUUUAGAGUUACUUAAUAGUCUAUUUCUUAUACCAUAUCUCUAUCCCGUGAAAUUCUCGAGCCAAAAGAUGGAUGCAUAUGCUGUGUUUCAUUUUGCUAAAUGAUAUCAAUUAAAUGGUGUAUCAAUUCCAUAAAUUGCAUAUAGCAAUAAAUAAAUCAGCAAAAUUCUUUCUAAUAUUUUAGAUAGAAGAAAUGUUUCUUCUAUCUAAAAUAUUAGAAAGAAUGUACCCUUCUAUCCAAAUCCAAUUUGCAUCGAUAAAAUAAAUCCAAAUUCCAGUAGUAGAUGAAUAAUUGCAAAUUUGUGUGUGUACGAGAUUAGAAUAACUUCAAAAUAACUGACAUAAUUUUGUAUUUUUCCUGAUCAGAAAAAUACAUGAAAAAGAAAGGAGGUAGAAAAUUUUUUGGAUUUAUGGUUAAAGAAGAAAAAGAAGAAAACAGGGGUUCUGUUGAAUUUCAAGUAUUCAGUUUCACCAAUAAGAUACGGAGACUUGCUUCACAUUUGGAAUUACACAAAAAAGAUUUUUCAUCGGAAAGAGGUCUACGAAGAGGGUACAGUAGACUUUGAAGUCAUGAUCUGAACGAGUCGUACAGAUCAUGACUUCAAAGUCUACUGUGCACGGUCUGGUUUCGAUAGAACCAGACCGCGCACUGUGGACUCAUCAGAUUAUAAGUUCAUUCCAUACCGAACCAGACCGUGCACAUUCUUAUUAUGAGAAGGGGUCAUUCGAGCCUAUGGAAAUAGGAUACUCUGUUUACAUAGAAAUCCCUACGUCCUUACAUUCUAUUUAGGAUUAGGAAUAGGUGUAAUCAGACCUGCUUUUGACAUAUCUAUCCUAUUCUUAUUUGGGUACCAUAUGCACCUCUUUGGGCUUCUAUUGAAUCGAGAAAUUGGAUUGUACAUCUUUCAUCUUUUUGAUUUUGAUAUCGAUUUUGAUACAUAUAAGGUGUCCUACGGAUAAUGCAAAUCGAAGCUAUUUGAUGUCUGACUCAGGCCUAUAUGACCGAUCGAUCGAAAUACUCCAAGACUCCACCUUUGUCAUAUAUUCCAUAUAUCGGGCUAGAAGUGAUGUUUGUUAUCAAAGCAGAUGUUAAUUCAAUCAUCUGCUUUGAUAACAAACAUCUAGCUUCUCGAUGUUUGUUAUCAAAGCAGAUGGUAUCCUCUAGAUUCAUGGAUCUUAAUAAUCUGACCGCCCUCAGCUGCAUACAUCACUGCACUUCCACUUGACACCUAUUUAAACGGCUCGUCUCGCCGCUACCUUAUCCUAUUUCCAUACUUCUGUCGCUCCAUCCCCGUAUGGGUGGAGAACCCGUCGCUGUCUCGGCUGUGAUACCGGAGGCUCUAGGGAAGUCGGAGGAGAGAGCACUCAUCUUGGGGUGGGCUUACUACUUAUAUGCUUUCAGCAGUUAUCCUCUCCGCACUUGGCUACCCAGCGUUUACCGUAGGCACGAUAACUGGUACACCAGAGGUGCGUCCUUCCCGGUCCUCUCGUACUAGGGAAAGGUCCUCUCAAUGCUCUAACGCCCACACCGGAUAUGGACCGAACUGUCUCACGACGUUCUGAACCCAGCUCACGUACCGCAUUAAUGGGCGAACAGCCCAACCCUUGGAACCACCUACAGCUCCAGGUGGCGAAGAGCCGACAUCGAGGUGCCAAACCUUCCCGUCGAUGUGGACUCUUGGGGAAGAUCAGCCUGUUAUCCCUAGAGUAACUUUUAUCCGUUGAGCGACGGCCCUUCCAUCUCUUGGAUAGAUAGAGAGGGAGGGCAGAGGCCUUUGGUGUCCCUUUCAGUCAAGAAUUGGGGCUUCACAAUUACUAGCCAAUAUUUAUCUCAUGCCUUUCCUCGUUCAUGGUUCGAUAUUCUGGUGUCCUAGGCGUAGAGGAACCACACCAAUCCAUCCCGAAUUUGGUGGUUAAACUCUACUGCGGUGACGAUACUGUAGGGGAGGUCCUGCGGCAAAAUAGCUCGAUGCCAGAAUGAUAAAAAGCUUAACACCUCUUAUUUGACUUUUUCACUAUUUUGAAAUAAGAAAAAGAUCCAAAUCUAAAAUGCAAAGGUCGUCUUAUUCAAAACCUCAAUCAUCACAUCCCCUCUCUCCCACUUCACACCUCGGAACGCACUGUUCUUAUAGAGAGAAAGGCGUUUUCCCAUCUUCUUAACCUGAAAUGAAGGGGUACCCCCGGGAAGAGAUCCAGUGGAGACAGCUGGGCCUGUAGCUCAGAGGAUUAGAGCACGUGGCUACGAACCACGGUGUCGGGGGUUCGAAUCCCUCCUCGCCCACAGCCUUCCAAAGGGGGAAGGGCCUUUACUUUCCCCCUGAGGGUAGGAAAAUCAUGAUCGGGAUAGCGGACGUAAAGCUAUUGAACUUAGGUAUGCUCUUUCCUUUUGUCGAAGUGGAAUCGUAGAACAGAAUGUGAUACGAUGAGAUAGAAUGCAAUAGAAAUAGAAACAAGGAUAGCGAACGGGUUACCUACUCCUAAGGGUCAAAGCAAGCCCUUUAAUUCAAUUCUUUAUUCUUACAUUAAAAUUCUUACAUUAAAGAAUGAAUAAAAUCUCCCCAAGUAGGAUUCGAACCUACGACCAGUCAGUUAACAGCCGACCGCACUACCACUGAGCUACUGAGGAACAAGGGGGGAUUCGACCUCCUAGAGUUCAACUCCCGCUCUCAACCCAUGAACAAUAUGAGUCCGAAGCUUCUUUCGUAACUCCCAUAAUUUCUUCGUAGUGGCUCCGUUCCAUGCCUCAUUUCAUAGGGAAGCCCAAAGUGGCUCUAUUUCAUUCUAUUUCACUUCCUAGCACUUCCUAUCAUUUAAUAUCCAUCCCUUUGGUCUUAUUGACAUAAGAGAUGUCAUUUAUAGUCUAUCUCUUUCUAUAUAUGGAAAGUCAAGAAAUUCUCAUCGAAACAUCGAGAAAUUGUGCAUAUAGAAAACUCUAAAGAAAGAAAAAAAGGAGACCCAUGCCAUGAUUUUCAAAUCUUUUCUAUUUAGUAGUCUAAGUUUCUCGAUGAGGAUAAUUAAUUCGGUCGUUGUGGUCGGACUCUAUUAUGGAUUUCUGACUACAUUCUCCCUAGGUCCCUCUUAGAUCUUCUUUCUCCAAUCUUGGAUUAGGGAAGAAGGAGAUAUUCGCGACUACUGUCGAUUUCAUUAUGGGGCAGCUCAUGAUCUUCAUAUCGAUCUAUUAUCCACCUCUGUAUCUAUUCUUUCUUAGCUAAACAGGUGGAAGAUAUAUCCAAUUUGGUUAUAUUAUAUCAUGGACUCGAAAAACGGAUCUGAAUUUGACUGAAAUGCACGAUCUUCACAGGUAUCACUUUUCACGAUACCUAAAAGGUGGAAUAGCGAUUUUUGAACCAUUUCCUAUAAGAGAAUGGUUUCCAUUACUUUGAGAAAUGGAUUCUUAUAUCAAACUAUAGCUAUUGCAUUAAAGAAGAAAAGAAACUAAUAGAAGUCGAAGACGCGGAAUGAUAGUGAAUAGAGAGAAAGAUUCUUCUGAUUUUCUUGUUUCUAUCUACUAGACGCCGUAGAGAAUUGAGAAUUUUCAUGUCUUUCAAUUCUCGUACUCGUAAUUGGAAAGUUCUGGAAGGAGACCCAUCAUUUUGCAAUGAAAACAACAUAUAAAACUCUAGACAAUUUCGAAAUUAGGCCAAGCGUCUUAAUACAUAUGCAAAAAAAUUCAUUAUUGGCCCACCAUUAAUUAGAAGAUUUAGCUUGUAUGAAUCGCUAUUGGUUUGAUACGAAUAAUGACAAUCGUUUCAGUAUGUUAAGGAUACAGAUGUAUCCACAAUUCAUUUAGAGUUACUUAAUAGUCUAUUUCUUAUACCAUAUCUCUAUCCCGUGAAAUUCUCGAGCCAAAAGAUGGAUGCAUAUGCUGUGUUUCAUUUUGCUAAAUGAUAUCAAUUAAAUGGUGUAUCAAUUCCAUAAAUUGCAUAUAGCAAUAAAUAAAUCAGCAAAAUUCUUUCUAAUAUUUUAGAUAGAAGAAAUGUUUCUUCUAUCUAAAAUAUUAGAAAGAAUGUACCCUUCUAUCCAAAUCCAAUUUGCAUCGAUAAAAUAAAUCCAAAUUCCAGUAGUAGAUGAAUAAUUGCAAAUUUGUGUGUGUAUGAGAUUAGAAUAACUUCAAAAUAACUGACAUAAUUUUGUAUUUUUCCUGAUCAGAAAAAUACAUGAAAAAGAAAGGAGGUAGAUUUUUUUUUGGAUUUAUGGUUAAAGAAGAAAAAGAAGAAAACAGGGGUUCUGUUGAAUUUCAAGUAUUCAGUUUCACCAAUAAGAUAUGGAGACUUGCUUCACAUUUGGAAUUACACAAAAAAGAUUUUUCAUCGGAAAGAGGUCUACGAAGACUUUUGGGAAAACGUCGACGUUUGCUGGCUUAUUUGGCAAAGAAAAAUAGAGUAUGUUAUAAGAAAUUAAUCGGUCAGUUGAAUAUUCGAGAGCAGUAAUUUAAUCGUUCAAAUUUUUUUCUUGUUUUAUUAUUUUUUAGUAGUCUUAUAGUAGUCUUAGAUUUUUCAUUUUGAUGAGCCUCGCUUUGAGGAAUUCAUGGAAUAAUCCAUUUUCAUGGAAUAAUGAAUUAAGGAAGAAAGGAUAUGAGUCUACCGCUUACAAGAAAAGAUCUCAUGAUAGUCAAUAUGGGCCCUCAACACCCAUCAAUGCAUGGUGUUCUUCGACUGAUCGUUACUCUUGAUGGUGAGGAUGUUAUUGAUUGUGAACCCAUAUUAGGCUAUUUACACAGAGGAAUGGAAAAAAUCGCGGAAAACCGAACUAUUAUACAAUACUUACCUUAUGUAACAAGGAUAUAGAGAGAUUGUAGAAAGGGAUAGGAUAGUUAUUUUUGCAAGAGACUUGUUGUAAAUUCCUUAACUUAAGAAAUAAAAAAGAAUAAAAACACAAAUACAUAACAUAAAAAAAAAAGAAUAAAUAAGACGAGAUUCGACCUCCCCCUACAUAUUUAAUUUCUUCUCCUAUAUAAAAACUAGCAAGACCCACUCCAUUGGUAAUUCCAUCAAUAACACCCUUAUCAAAAAACUCCGUUAGUUCGGUUAACCCUCUUAUACCGAGGGUAAAGACCCUAGUAUAGAAAAUAUCUAUAUAACCACGAUUAUAUGACCAACUGUAUAUAUUUUUUUACUUGAUCUAAAAAUUCUUUUUUAGGAUUUCCUUUGUAAAAAGAGUUUAUUAAAUCCAAAUUCUGAAAAAAAGAAUAAGCGGAUCCAUAGAAGAUAUAUGCUAUGAAUAAACCAAAGAUAGCUAGACUUACAGAAGAAAUUGCAUUAGUAAUAAAUUCAUAUGAAUUUACAAAAGAAUUAGAACUUUCCUGAGUAAAGUUUAUUGAGGGAGUUAACCACUUUGAUAAUAUGGUUAACUCUGCUAUUCCAUUACCAAUUCCUCCAUUAUCAAAAGAGAUUCCUAUGAAUCCAAUGAACAAAGUGAAAAGUAGUAAUAUAAGAAGAGGAAAUAACAUAGUAUUUCCCGUUUCAUGCGGAUAGGCAAAAGUGUUUUUAGCCCCAAAAGACGUAGUAAAGGAUCCUAUCCUAUUUCUUGUAUUACCUUGAAUUUUUGGUAUAUUUUGUGAAAAAAAAGAAACUCCACUCUUCGUUGUUGAUAAAACGAAAUCCCUAUUCUCUCCUUUGGGUAUCCUUUUUCCCCAUAAGGAUAUUGAAUACAAGGAACUCUCUUUAGUGCUACUGUAAUUUUGAAAAUGAACACGCAAAUACCCAUCAAAUGUAAGUAAAUAUAUCCGAAACAUAUAAAAGGCAGUUAAUCCUGCAGUAAAGGAGGCUAUUAUUCCAAAAAAGGGCGAAUACAACCAACUAUUACUAAGGAUUUCAUCUUUGGACCAGAAGCAAGCAAGAGGUGGAAUACCACAAAGAGAAAGUGUACCCCAUAAAAAAGUAGUUCUUGUGAUUGGAAUGUAUUUUCUUAAACCGCCCAUAAGAACCAUAUUUUGACUUUUAUCUGGUGAAUAUCCAACAAGAGGUUCCAUUGAAUGAAUAACGGAUCCGGAUCCCAAGAACAAUAAAGCUUUUGAAUAAGCAUGAGUGAUCAAAUGGAAUAAAGCAGCUUUAUAAGAACCUAUACCUAGAGCUAACAUCAUAUAACCCAAUUGAGACAUUGUAGAAUAGGCUAAGCUUCUUUUAAUAUCUCUCUGAGCAAGAGCUAAAGUAGCUCCUAAGAAUAGUGUUAUUGUACCUACUAAAGAAAUAAAACUCAUUAUCAAAGGUAAAGAUAUGAAAAGAGGAAGAAGUCGAGCUAGAAGAAAAAUUCCCGCAGCAACCAUAGUUGCUGCGUGUAUAAGAGCUGAAAUAGGAGUGGGUCCUUCCAUAGCAUCGGGUAACCAUACGUGAAGAGGGAAUUGUGCGGAUUUCGCAACUGCACCAAGGAAUAAUAAAAAAUCACACAAAGUAGUAAGUAAAGAGUUAACUCCAUUAUUAGGAAUCCAGUUAUUAGCUAUUUUGAACAAAUCCCUAAACUCUAAACUACCUGUUAUCCAAAAAAACCUAAAAUUCCUAAUAAUAGACCAAAAUCCCCUACACGAUUAGUUACAAAAGCUUUUUGACAAGCACUCGCUGCGAUUGGUCGUGUAAACCAAAAGCCUAUCAAUAAAUAAGAACACAUUCCCACGAGUUCCCAAAAAAAAUUUGUAUCAAAUUGGAGCUAGUAACCAAUCCCAACAUGGAAGUAUUGAAACAACUUAUAUAAACAAAAAAUCUCAAAUAUCCUUCGUCGUGAGACAUAUAACCAUCACUAUAAAUAAGAACCAGGAUUCCUACAGUAGUAAUUAGUAUUAACAUAAUAGAAGUAAGUGGGUCAAUCAAGUAUCCAAAUUCUAAAGAAAAAUCAUUAUUGACGGUCCAAGACCAUAGAUAUUGAUAGAUCGAACUUCCAUUUAUUUGUUCAAUAGACAGUUGAACUGAGAAUACCAUAGCUAUACUUAAGAGUAAAACACUAGGAAAAGCCCAUAUGCGACGAAGAUUUUUUGUUGCUGUCGGAAUAAGAAUAAGGCCAAAUCCCAUUGACAUAAUAACUGGAAGUGGGAGAAGAGGGAUUACCCAUGCAUAUUGAUAUGUAUGUUCCAUAAGAAAAGAAAUUGCAAUUUUUACUUCAAUUUUUCUAUAAAAUUGUUUCCGAUUCACCAAACCAAUUCUUAUCUCUUUCUGAAAGAAUAAAUAAAAAGAAUAAGAAAAAAUANNNNNNNNNNNNNNNNNNNNNNNNNNNNNNNNNNNNNNNNNNNNNNNNNNNNNNNNNNNNNNNNNNNNNNNNNNNNNNNNNNNNNNNNNNNNNNNNNNNNNNNNNNNNNNNNNNNNNNNNNNNNNNNNNNNNNNNNNNNNNNNNNNNNNNNNNNNNNNNNNNNNNNNNNNNNNNNNNNNNNNNNNNNNNNNNNNNNNNNNNNNNNNNNNNNNNNNNNNNNNNNNNNNNNNNNNNNNNNNNNNNNNNNNNNNNNNNNNNNNNNNNNNNNNNNNNNNNNNNNNNNNNNNNNNNNNNNNNNNNNNNNNNNNNNNNNNNNNNNNNNNNNNNNNNNNNNNNNNNNNNNNNNNNNNNNNNNNNNNNNNNNNNNNNNNNNNNNNNNNNNNNNNNNNNNNNNNNNNNNNNNNNNNNNNNNNNNNNNNNNNNNNNNNNNNNNNNNNNNNNNNNNNNNNNNNNNNNNNNNNNNNNNNNNNNNNNNNNNNNNNNNNNNNNNNNNNNNNNNNNNNNNNNNNNNNNNNNNNNNNNNNNNNNNNNNUGGAAUACCAUUCUGAACUUAAUUAACUAUUUUCAUUUUCCCUUCUUUUUAUCCCCCCGUCUUAUCUUAUAUGGGGGAUAGGCUUCCAUACCAUAUAUCUAUAUAUGGAGUAUACUUGAUAUAUAAAUAGAUAUAAAUAUAUUUAAAUGAGAAACCCUUCUAUAUAUUCUAUAUUAUUAAAAAACAAGUAUAAAAUAUAUAAAGAAAAAAUGUUAAAAAAUUCUUGUUGUCUUAUCCGCAUUAGACAAAAUGAAGUAAAAAAUAAUUCAAAAUUUAAGUAUCUUUCAGUAUCUAAGUAUAAAUACUAAUAAAAAUAAGAAAGAAGGAUUAAUUUGCAGCAAUAGAUGUCUUUCACAUACAACUAGAAAAAAGUAAUUUCCUUUUUGAAUGGCAGUUCCAAAAAAACGUACUUCAAUGUCAAAAAAGCGUAUUCGUAAAAAUAUUUGGAAGAAAAAGACUUAUUUUUCCAUAGUACAAUCUUAUUCUUUAGUAAAAUCAAGAUCAUUUUCGAGCGGUAAUGAGCAUCCAAAACCAAAGGGUUUUUCUGGGCAACAAACAAAUAAUAAGAUUUUUGAAUAAUAUGAAUUGACUUAUCAAAAAAGAAUUCCAAUUAUUUAAGAAUUUUGAUUCUUCUUUGAAUGUACUUUUAUGUGUCGAAUUACUCGGUACAAUAUUCUUAGAACAAAAACCCCCUCUUAUAUAUACAAGAACAAAAAGUUUUUUUUGGUAUACUGUGUGCUAAGUAUUCUUUUCCUAUCAAUGAACUUUUCAUAAUUUUCAUAAUAGAAUCCUCAUAUUUUAUUAUGAAAAUUAUGAAAAGUGGAGUAUUCUUACAAUAGGACUUACAACUUCUACCUAUCUUCUCCAAAAUCAUAAGGUUAGUAAAUCUUAUUAAUAAGAGCAUAAAGACUUUCAUUCUAGAAAUUUUGAAAAAAUCCAAAAAGCCUUUUCUAUUUAUCCAUUUUAAUUUCAUCAUUAAAUAGAAACCCUUUUUGGAUUUUUUUUCAUUAUAUUGAAAGAAUUUUCAAAAUGUAAACGAGAAAUUAAUUAGAAAAAAUUAGUUCUAUAAUUGCAAGUUAGAAAAAAGAAGUUCCAACUCUUUCAAGCAGUGUUUGUGUUUCUAUUGGGCAAAGCAAGAGUUUAUUGUAAAAAAAAUGGAAACGAUACUACCAAACGAAGUCUAUUUUAAUGAAAACUCUAAUGUUCCUAAAUUUUAUGGACUUUCCCAAUAUCGACGAUUCCCAAGAUAAUAGCUAUUAUUCUUUUAAGUUACCUAUUAUUUGAAGUUAGCUGCCAUGGUGAAAUUGGUAGACACGCUGCUCUUAGGAAGCAGUGCUCAAGCAUCUCGGUUUGAAUCCGAGUGGCGGCAUUCUUGAAAAAGAAUACAAUAGAUUAGAAAUCAAUUCGAAAUUUACAAUUUUGUAAUGGGACCUUCCCCUUAUGCUAUUUGCAACUUUAGAACAUAUACUAACUCAUAUCUCUUUCUCAACGAUUUCAAUUGUGAUUACGAUUCAUUUGAUAACCUUAUUAGUUCGUGAACUUGGAGGAUUACGUGAUUCGUCAGAAAAAGGAAUGAUAGUUACUUUUUUCUCUAUAAUAGGAUUCUUAGUUUCUCGUUGGGCUUCCUCGGGACAUUUUCCAUUAAGUAAUUUAUAUGAGUCAUUGAUCUUCCUUUCAUGGGCCAUGUAUAUUCUUCAUACCAUUCCUAAAAUACAGAACUCUAAAAAUGAUUUAAGCACAAUAACUACGCCAAGUACUAUUUUAACGCAAGGCUUUGCCACAUCGGGUCUUUUAACUGAAAUGCAUCAAUCCACGAUACUAGUACCUGCUCUAAAAUCUCAGUGGUUAAUGAUGCAUGUCAGUAUGAUGUUAUUAAGCUAUGCAACUCUUUUGUGCGGAUCCUUAUUAUCUGCCGCUAUUCUAAUCAUUAGAUUUCGAAAUAAUUUCCAUUUCUUUUCUAAAAAGAAAAAAAUGUUUUAAAUAAAACAUUUCUCUUUAGUGAUAUUAAAUAUUUUUAUGCAAAAAGAAGUGCUUUAAAAAGAACCUCUGUCCCUUCAUUUCCAAAUUAUUACAAAUAUCAAUUAACGGAGCAUUUGGAUUCUUGGAGUUAUCGUGUCAUUAGCCUAGGAUUUACCCUUUUAACCGUAGGUAUUCUUUGUGGAGCAGUAUGGGCUAAUGAGGCCUGGGGAUCCUAUCGAAUUGGGAUCCUAAGGAAACUUGGGCAUUUAUUACUUGGACCAUAUUCGUAAUUUAUUUACAUAGUAGAACAAAUCCAAAUUGGAAGGGUACGAAUUCUGCACUUAUAGCUUCGAUAGGAUUUCUUAUAAUUUGGAUUUGUUAUUUUGGUAUAAAUCUAUUAGGAAUAGGCUUACAUAGUUAUGGUUCGUUUACAUUAACACCUAAAUGAUUACAUAAAAUAAAACCUUCAUUUCAUGAAGGUUUUUACUUUUAUGUUUUAUUUGAGAACCCCUUGAACGCCUUCUCAAAGGGUUCUCAAAAAUUCGAGAUAGAUCUAAUUAUACUUUUUUACUUAUUUCUGCAUUAAUAGAGCAGACGAGUAAAAAAAACCUAUUUAGGAUAAUAAUUGGAUAAGAGAGCCUCUACCCUGUCAACGGAUAGGGAGAGAACAAAAUCUGGAUAAAUACCAAUUCCUAUUACUGGUAAAAAGAUACAGAUUAAAAUAAAGAGUUCUCGUGGUCCAGAAUCCACAAAAUUUGCGUUUGGAACAUUAAAUAGCUUGUAUCCAUAGAACAUCUGGCGUAACAUAGAUAAUAAAUAAAUAGGAGUUAAUAUCAUUCCAAUUGCCAUUACAAAAGUAAUUAGUGUUUUUGGCAUUAACAGAAAUUUUGGACUAGUAAUUAGUCCAAAAAAUACUACUAAUUCUGUGACAAAACCACUCAUUCCUGGUAAGGCAAGAGAAGCCAUUGAAAAUCUACUAAACAUGGUAAAAUUUUUAGGCAUUGGGAUAGAUAUUCCCCCCAGUUCUUUGAGAUAAACAAGACGCAUUCUAUCAGAAGCGGUUCCUGCCAAGAAAAAAAGUGUAGCACCAAUAAAUCCAUGGGAUAAUAUUUGUAAAAUAGCUCCAUUGAGUCCAAUGUUGGUUAUGGAACCAAUUCCUAUAAUUAUGAAACCCAUGUGAGAUACAGAGGAAUAAGCUAUUCUUUUUUUGAAAUUUCGUUGACCAAGAGAAGUUGAAGCUGCAUAGAUUAUUUGGAUCGCUCCUAUUAUUACUAACCAGGGCGAAAAUAGAUAAUGAGCAUGAGGUAACAAUUCCAUGUUGAUCCGAAUCAAUCCAUAUGCUCCCAUCUUUAAUAAUAUUCCCGCUAAAAGCAUACAUGUACUAUAAUGUGCUUCCCCAUGGGUAUCUGGUAACCACGUAUGUAGGGGUAUAAUCAGCAAUUUGACAGCAUAAGCAAUAAGGAAGCCAAAAUAUAAAAGUAUUUCCAAGGUUGCAGGAUAUGAUUGAUUAAUUAAUCUUUCCAAAUCUAAUCCUGGUUCGUUGGAACCAUAUAAGCCCAUACCCAGAACUCCGAUUAAGGAAAAAAUGGAACCGCCUGCAGUAUACAAAAUAAACUUUGUAGCUGAAUAUAGACGCCUCCCCCCCCACAUGGAUAAAAGUAAGUAAACAGGAAUUAAUUCUAACUCCCACAUGAUAAAAAAAAGUAAAAGGUCUCGCGAAGAAAAUAAUCCUAUUUGACCACUAUACAUUGCGAGCAUCAGGAAAUAGAAUAAUCGCGAAUUCCGUGUAAUUGGCCAAGCUGCUAAAGUAGCUAAAGUUGUGAUAAAUCCUGUCAAUAAAAUAGAUCCUAAUGAAAGUCCAUCGAUUCCCAAUCUCCAGUGGAAAUCGAAGACAUCUAUCCAUUUAUAAUCCUCCUUUAAUUGGAUUAAGGGAUCCUCCAGUUGGAAAUGAUAACAGAACGCAUAAGUCAUUAGAAGGAAUUCUAAUAAACAAAUAGAUAUAGUAUACCACCUAACGACUUUUUUCCCUUAUGAGGUAAAAAGAAAAUUAAUGAACCUACAAAUAUCGGCAAAACAACAAGUAUUGUUAACCAAGGAAAAUAACUCAUGAUAAAGUGAUAAAGACAAGAUACGUUUUGACCAAAAAAGCCCGUGCUCGAUUAUUUCGAGCACAGGCUUCUUCGGUAAAGAGGAAUCAGACGAUUCGAGUGAAGUUUUUUGUAACGUAUCAAUAAGAUAGAGCCAUGCUAUGUGUUGUUUCAGGCCCUAAAUAAACGCGGACACUUAAAAAAUCUGUCGGGCAGGCAGAUUCACAUCUCUUACAACCCACACAAUCUUCAGUUCUCGGCGCGGAAGCAAUUUGCUUGGCUUUACAUCCAUCCCAGGGUAUCAUUUCUAAUACAUCUUUUGGACAAGCUCGUACACAUUGAGUGCAUCCUAUACAUGUAUUGUAAAUUUUUACGGAAUGUAACAUUGGAUCUAUAAAUUUUUCUUUUCAACAUAAAAUUUUUCGAUCUGGUAAAAAUGAAAUUAGUACUAUAAUGAGUUAUAUGUAUUGUAGACACCAGACGAAGCAAUGGUUUAUCCAAACUUCAAAAAUAAAAAUCUAUUUUUUAAUCUGUUUGUGAGAAAGCGUGAAGAGAGCCAAGAGACUUUAAUUUGGGAUUUCAACAAUAAGAAAUAAGAAAUAAUUUUACGAAUUGUACAGAUGAAUUCGAAUUAGCCAAUAAAUUGGCUAUCGUCUUUUCAAUAUAAAUUAUUGCAAUAUUAAAAUUGCAAUAUCAAUGAAUUACAAAUACAAAAAUUCAUUUAAGUGAAAAAGAAUACUAUGCAAUAAUCUACUAAAAAAAUGGAUAUUCUCAAAUAAUACUAAGAAAAUAGUAUUGAUUUCUAUAUUAUUUUAAUAUGUGCGCCUUUGUUUAGAGGAUUCUAUGUCUAAUUAUUCAAUAAAUUAGAUUGAUUGAUACGAGUCGAUUUCCUAUUACGAUGGAUGGAAGAAAGAAUGGAUAGUCCAAUAGCGGCUUCAGCAGCCGCAAGGGCUAUAACAAAAAUUGCGAAAAUAUCUCCUUUUAAUUGGCGACUAUCAAAUAGAUCAGAAAAAGUUACGAGAUUUAGAUUAAUUGAAUUCAGUAUAAGUUCAAGACAUAUUAGAGCUCUAACCAUGUUUCGGCUUGUGAUCAAUCCAUAGAUACCAAACGAAAAUAAAUAGACACUCAAAAAAGUACAUGCUCAAACAUCAUUAACUAACUCUUUAUCAAUCUCGAUUCAUUUCAAUAUGAGGGCAAGAAUUGAACCGAUUCAAUUAAUUACAAUAGAACAAUUACACAACAAAAGAGAAAAUAAAGGAGGUAUUUGUUGGCAGUAGAUGGGUUUUACUAAAUCAAAAUUGUGAUUCUUUAGUUAUUUAUUUUAGAUUUGCAAUUCUUAUAAUUUGUACUUUUUCUAAGUUUUCUUAUUGCCGAGCCAUAGUAAUUGCACCUAUUAAAGAAACUAGAAGAAUUAUGGAAAUGAGUUCAAACGGAAGAUAAAAAUCGGUUGCUAAAUGAAUUCCAAUUUGUUGAACAUUAUUUAUGAGACCCUGUUCUACUAUUUGGUUUGAUCUUGUAGUCCAAAGAAUUCCAUACCACGACGUAUCUGGGAUAGUAGUCAUUAGUGAAAAAACAAUAGUUAUACAAACGAGUGAAGUGAACCCAUCUCCAAUAGUCCAAUAAUUCUUAUCUUUAGACCAUUCUGAGCCAUUUACGAACAUUACAACGAAUAUGAUCAAGACAUUUAUGGCUCCCACAAAAAUAAGAAGUUGUGCGACAACUACAAAGUAGGAAUUUAAUAAAAAGUAGAAUAAGGAUAUACAAACAAGAACUAAUCCCAGCGAAAAGGCAGAAUAAAUGGGGUUGGUAAGCAAUACUACUCCUAGACCCCCUAGUAGAAGAACAAAUCCCCCAAAUAGCAUAAGAAUCUCAUGUAUUGGUCCAGGUAAAUCCAUUAUGGAUAAAAAGAAAUUAAUAGUAUAAAUUUUUUCAUGAACUGACUAAAACUAAAGGAUUCAAGGAAGGAAAAAAGGAUUAGGGUAUUUUUUUGUGUAUAAACUGUAUAGUUAUAAAUUAUAUUAUAUCACGAAAAUAUAGUCUGAUUUAAAAUAAGAAAGAAUUUCCAAUAAGCAGUAGUUUUUCGUUUUUCUUUAUAGUGUAAUUUUAUAGUUUAAUAAAGAAUUGUUAGAUUUUUAUAACAAAAAGACAAAAUCAAAAUUUAGUAAUCAGUAAUCGUUCUUGAAUUCGAAGAUUUUUCUUUGUUUAUUUUACUUUCAGACGAAUUCCUAAUUGUUUGAAUUGUGUAAUCUCCCAUUAUGGAGACUGGUAACCGACUUAAAGCAAUUUGAUUGUAAUUCAAUUCAUGACGAUCAUAGGUAGAAAGUUCAUAUUCUUCAGUCAUUGGUAAACAGCUUGUUGGACAGUACUCAACACAAUUGCCACAAAAUAUACAAACUCCGAAAUCAAUACCAUAAUUAAGCAAUUGUUUUCUUUUAAUAUCCUUUUCAAAUCUCCAAUCCACAACAGGUAGAUCUAUCGGACAUACGCGAACACAUACUUCACAAGCAAUACAUUUAUCAAAUUCAAAGUGGAUUCGCCCUCGGAAACGCUCUGGUGUAAUUGAUUUUUCAUAAGGGUAGUGAAUCGUUAUAGGUAAACGAUUUGUGUGGGAUAAGGUAGUUAUGAAACUUUGAGCUAUGUACCUUGUAGCACGUAUUGUUUGUUGACCAUAACUCAUGAACCCAGUUACCACAGGGAACAUAUUCAUUCUAAAUAUCUAUGAAAAAGAUAUGUUUCUUUCUCUUGUUCGAGAGAGCUUUUGUGUUGAAAAUAUUCUUACUAUUAUUGUAUUAUCUUAUUUAUAGUGAAACAAGUUGAGAAGAGGUUGUUAAUAAGAGAUUGCCCAGGGAAAUAGGUAAAAGAAAUUUCCAUCCAAGAUUUAAUAACUGAUCUAUUCUCAUCCUCGGUAAAGUCCAUCUUAUUGUGAUAGAAAUGAAGAGAAAUAAAUAAGCUUUAGUUAAUGUAAUAAAUAUACCCAUUGUCAUUUCCAAAAUUCCAACUGCUUUAUUCAUUUGGAAAAAAUCAAAAAAGGAUAUAUAGGGAAUAGAUAAAUUCCACCCGCCCAAGUAGAGAACUGCUACAAAUAAAGAAGAAACUAAUAAAUUUAGGUAAGAAACAAGAUAAAAUAAACCAUAUUUGAUACCAGAAUAUUCAGUUUGGUAACCUGCUACUAAUUCUUCCUCCGCUUCUGGUAAAUCAAAGGGUAAUCUUUCACAUUCUGCCAAAGAAGAAAUUAAAAAAACCAAAAAACCUAUAGGCUGACGCCAAAUAUUCCAUCCAAAAAAACCGUAUUUUGACUGUGCUUCAACUAUAUCAACUGUACUUGAACUGUUAGAUAAUCAUAGUCGAUGAUAACAUCACAGUUCCCACCGCUAUUUCAAAACCGUACAUGAAACCUUAGCUUCAUACGGCUUCUCUAUGAUCAGAAAAAGGAAAGGAAUGUUUUGUUCCUAGCCCCUGGGGCGUAGAUAGAAUUAGAUAAAAUAAAAUAGAUUUGAAAGUCCUAAAUUAGACCAAAGGAAUUCCGUCUGCUAGAAUAAGAAAAAGCGCUUCCGAAUUGAUCUCAUCCUUUAUAAUAUAAAGAAAUUUUUUCUUUGUUCAGUAAUAACUUAAUCUUGGAAUAAAACACUUGUUACUUGUUAUAGGAAUUCAAUUAAUAAAUGGAAAGGGUUGGGUAUUAGUUCAUGAGCAAUUCUGCAUGAAUAUGGAUAAUGGAUAGAGGAAGGAAAUAAUGAAAAAAAAUUCUAGUGCACUCCAUAUCUUUUUUACUAUUCUUCUUUCCCCAGGGAGGGGUAUUUAAAAAGAAAAAAUGGAUAAAGGGUUAAUUCGUUCUUGAUAGCCAUUUCCUUAACAAGUGAAUGGGAACAUACUCUGGAUCGGAAUCCGAAGAAAGUACUACUUGAUAAUUUCUACAAAUUGCAAGUCCUUAUUAUGAUUCCUUUUAUGGGCAAAAAUCUCUAGUGUUUUAGAUUUUCCAUUACUAAUCCUUUAUGUACUUUAGUGUUCCUAACCCUUCACUAACUUUUGGUGGAUUCUUCUUAUGGAUUAUUAAGUUAUAGUAAUAUAAUAACUAGGAAUAUUCUAGUAAUGGAAUUCCAUAUCGUGAAUCCUUUAUUCUUGGCCGCUUCAAGAUAUGAUGACUAAUUAAAAAAUAUCAACCUUGGGAUAAAGAGUUUACACUGCUUAUGUUUACUUCCACUUUUUUCUUGUACGUAGGAAAUGAGAUUUUUUCUUUUUACUACAAAUUUAUAAGCUGUUUUGUUUCACUCAUAUAGCUAUCUAGUUUAACUUACCAACCCAAAUACCAAAUAAGAAAAGGAAUAUAAAUAGUUAAUGGAUUUUAUAGGAAAAAGAUCCAUUUUAAUGAAUCACACGUAGAGAUAUUGCUAGCACACAAAAAGUUAAUGGUAUUUCAUAACUAAUGGAUUGAGCAGCAGCUCGUAGACCGCCUGAAAAAGAAUAUUUAUUAUUUGAGCUAUACCCUGCCAUAAGAAGACCAAUAGGAGCUAUACUUGAAAUGGCAAUCCAUAAAAAAACACCAAUACUAAGAUCGGCUAAAACAAAAUGAUAUCCCAAAGGGAUAACUAAAAAACUUAAUAAAACUGAUAUGACUGCUAUAGAGGGUCCAAUGCUAAAUAAAGAAAUAUCUCCUCGGGAUGGCAGAAUAUCUUCUUUAAAAAGUAGCUUAGUCCCCUCUGCUAUAGCUUGAAGCAGGCCCAGGGGGCCAGCAUAUUCAGGACCAAUACGUUGUUGUAUCGACGCAGAUAUUUCUCUUUCUAACCACACAAUUACGAGUACCUCUAUUGUUAUUCCCAAAAGGAGGAUCAAAAUGGGUAGAAUCGAUAUCAGUCCAUAGACUUCUUUUAAUAAUUCCAAUUUCCAAAAAGAAUUGAUAGUUUCUACCUCUACCCUAUCUAUUAUCAUUUCAACGAUCAACUUCCCCCAUAAUGAUAUCUAUAUACCUAAUAUCGUCAUGAUAUCAGCCAAUUUCAUUUUUUUAACUAGCUGAGGAAGAAUUUGCAAAUUAAUAAACCCGGGUGGACGGAUUUUCCAUCUCCAGGGGAAAAGGCUAUCAUCUCCUACUAGAUAAAUCCCUAAUUCACCUUUUGGGGCUUCUACUCUUACAUAAAGCUCUUGUCUUGACAAUUCAAAAUUGGGCGAAGGUUUUUUACCAAGAAAUUUAUACUCAAAAUCAUUCCAUUCAGAAUUCUUUUCUUUCUUAAAGCGUCGGACUUCUAAAUUCUCAUAAGGUCCUCCAGGAAUUUUUUCUACAGCUUGUUGAAUUAUUUUGAUGGAUUCCCUCAUUUCACCAACUCGUACUAAAUAGCGAGCUAACGAAUCCCCUUCUUUUUUCCAUUGGACUUUCCAAUCAAAUUGGUUGUAAGACUCAUAAGGAUCUACUUUACGAAGAUCCCAUUGUAUUCCAGAAGCUCGUAACAUCGGUCCCGAUAAGCCCCAAUUUACUGCUUCUUCUCCGCUAAUAAAACCUACUCCUUCAACUCGCUCUAAAAAAAUUGGAUUCUGUGUAAUAAGUUGUUGAUAUUCAACAACUCCGCGUAAAAAAUAAUCACAGAAAUCUAAACAUUUCUCAAUCCAUCCAUAAGGUAGAUCGGCGGCUACUCCUCCGAUGCGAAAGUAAUUGUGCAUCAUUCGCAUACCUGUAGCAGCUUCAAAUAGAUCAUAUAUUAAUUCUCUCUCUCUAAAAAUAUAGAAAAAAGGAGUCUGUGCGCCGAGAUCCGCCAUAAAAGGUCCAAGCCAUAGCAAGUGAGAAGCUAUCCGGCUUAAUUCUAACAUAAUUACCCUAAUAUAGCUGGCUCUUUGUGGUAUUUGAAUAUUCUCCAAGAAUUCUGGUGCAUUUACUGUUAUUGGUUCUAUAAACAUAGUAGCUAAAUAAUCCCACCUUGUUACAUAAGGUAAGUAUUGUAUAAUAGUUCGGUUUUCCGCGAUUUUUUCCAUUCCUCUGUGUAAAUAGCCUAAUAUGGGUUCACAAUCAAUAACAUCCUCACCAUUGAGAGUAACGAUCAGUCGAAGAACACCAUGCAUUGAUGGGUGUUGAGGGCCCAUAUUGACUAUCAUGAGAUCUUUUCUUGUAAGCGGUAGACUCAUAUCCUUUCUUCCUUAAUUCAUUAUUCCAUGAAAAUGGAUUAUUCCAUGAAUUCCUCAAAGCGAGGCUCAUCAAAAUGAAAAAUCUAAGACUACUAUAAGACUACUAAAAAAAUAAUAAAACAAGAAAAAAAUUUGAACGAUUAAAUUACUGCUCCCGAAUAUUCAACUGACCGAUUAAUUUCUUAUAACGUACUCUAUUUUUCUUUGCCAAAUAAGCCAGCAAACGUCGACAUUUUCCCAAAAGUCUUCGUAGACCUCUUUCCGAUGAAAAAUCUUUUUUGUGUAAUUCCAAAUGUGAAGCAAGUCUCCGUAUCUUAUUGGUGAAACUGAAUACUUGAAAUUCAACAGAACCCAUGUUUUCUUCUUUUUCUUCUUUAACCAUAAAUCCAAAAAAAAUUCUACCUCCUUUCUUUUUCAUGUAUUUUUCUGAUCAGGAAAAAUACAAAAUUAUGUCAGUUAUUUCGAAGUUAUUCUAAUCUCGUACACACAUAAAUUUGCAAUUAUUCAUCUACUACUGGAAUUUGGAUUUAUUUUAUCGAUGCAAAUUGGAUUUGGAUAGAAGGGUACAUUCUUUCUAAUAUUUUAGAUGGAAGAAACAUUUCUUCUAUCUAAAAUAUUAGAAAGAAUUUUGCUGAUUUAUUUAUUGCUAUAUGCAGUUUAUGGAAUUGAUACACCAUUUAAUUGAUAUCAUUUAGCAAAAUGAAACACAGCAUAUGCAUCCAUCUUUUGGCUCGAGAAUUUCACGGGAUAGAGAUAUGGUAUAAGAAAUAGACUAUUAAGUAACUCUAAAUGAAUUGUGGAUACAUCUGUAUCCUUAACAUACUGAAACGAUUGUCAUUAUUCGUAUCAAACCAAUAGCGAUUCAUACAAGCUAAAUCUUCUAAUCAAUGGUGGGCCAAUAAUGAAUUUUUUUGCAUAUGUAUUAAGAUGCUUGGUCUGAUUUCGAAAUUGUCCAGAGUUUUAUAUGUUGUUUUCAUUGCAAAAUGAUGGGUCUCCUUCCAGAACUUUCCAAUUACGAGUACGAGAAUUGAAAGACAUGAAAAUUCUCAAUUCUCUACGGCGUCUAGUAGAUAGAAACAAGAAAAUCAGAAGAAUCUUUCUCUCUAUUCACUAUCAUUCCGCGUCUUCGACUUCUAUUAGUUUCUUUUCUUCUUUAAUGCAAUAGCUAUAGUUUGAUAUAAGAAUCCAUUUCUCAAAGUAAUGGAAACCAUUCUCUUAUAGGAAAUGGUUCAAAAAUCGCUAUUCCACCUUUUAGGUAUCGUGAAAAGUGAUACCUGUGAAGAUCAUGCAUUUCAGUCAAAUUCAGAUCCGUUUUUCGAAUCCAUGAUAUAAUAUAACCAAAUUGGAUAGAUCUUCCACCUGUUUAGCUAAGAAAGAAUAGAUACAGAGGUGGAUAAUAGAUCGAUAUGAAGAUCAUGAGCUGCCCCAUAAUGAAAUCGCCAGUAGUCGCGAAUAUCUCCUUCUUCCCUAAUCCAAGAUUGGAGAAAGAAGAUCUAAGAGGGACCUAUGGAGAAUGUAGUCAGAAAUCCAUAAUAGAGUCCGACCACAAUGACCGAAUUAAUUAUCCUCAUCGAGAAACUUAGACUACUAAAUAGAAAAGAUUUGAAAAUCAUGGCAUGGGUCUCCUUUUUUUCUUUCUUUAGAGUUUUCUAUAUGCACAAUUUCUCGAUGUUUCGAUGAGAAUUUCUUGACUUUCCGUAUAUAGAAAGAGAUAGACUAUAAAUGACAUCUCUUAUGUCAAUAAGACCAAAGGGAUGGAUAUUAAAUGAUAGGAAGUGCUAGGAAGUGAAAUAGAAUGAAAUAGAGCCACUUUGGGCUUCCCUAUGAAAUGAGGCAUGGAACGGAGCCACUACGAAGAAAUUAUGGGAGUUACGAAAGAAGCUUCGGACUCAUAUUGUUCAUGGGUUGAGAGCGGGAGUUGAACUCUAGGAGGUCGAAUCCCCCCUUGUUCCUCAGUAGCUCAGUGGUAGAGCGGUCGGCUGUUAACUGACUGGUCGUAGGUUCGAAUCCCUCCUCGCCCACAGCCUUCCAAAGGGGGAAGGGCCUUUACUUUCCCCCUGAGGGUAGGAAAAUCAUGAUCGGGAUAGCGGACGUAAAGCUAUUGAACUUAGGUAUGCUCUUUCCUUUUGUCGAAGUGGAAUCGUAGAACAGAAUGUGAUACGAUGAGAUAGAAUGCAAUAGAAAUAGAAACAAGGAUAGCGAACGGGUUACCUACUCCUAAGGGUCAAAGCAAGCCCUUUAAUUCAAUUCUUUAUUCUUACAUUAAAAUUCUUACAUUAAAGAAUGAAUAAAAUCUCCCCAAGUAGGAUUCGAACCUACGACCAGUCAGUUAACAGCCGACCGCUCUACCACUGAGCUACUGAGGAACAAGGGGGGAUUCGACCUCCUAGAGUUCAACUCCCGCUCUCAACCCAUGAACAAUCUGAGUCCGAAGCUUCUUUCGUAACUCCCAUAAUUUCUUCGUAGUGGCUCCGUUCCAUGCCUCAUUUCAUAGGGAAGCCCAAAGUGGCUCUAUUUCAUUCUAUUUCACUUCCUAGCACUUCCUAUCAUUUAAUAUCCAUCCCUUUGGUCUUAUUGACAUAAGAGAUGUCAUUUAUAGUCUAUCUCUUUCUAUAUAUGGAAAGUCAAGAAAUUCUCAUCGAAACAUCGAGAAAUUGUGCAUAUAGAAAACUCUAAAGAAAGAAAAAAAGGAGACCCAUGCCAUGAUUUUCAAAUCUUUUCUAUUUAGUAGUCUAAGUUUCUCGAUGAGGAUAAUUAAUUCGGUCGUUGUGGUCGGACUCUAUUAUGGAUUUCUGACUACAUUCUCCAUAGGUCCCUCUUAGAUCUUCUUUCUCCAUUCUUGGAUUAGGGAAGAAGGAGAUAUUCGCGACUACUGGCGAUUUCAUUAUGGGGCAGCUCAUGAUCUUCAUAUCGAUCUAUUAUCCACCUCUGUAUCUAUUCUUUCUUAGCUAAACAGGUGGAAGAUCUAUCCAAUUUGGUUAUAUUAUAUCAUGGACUCGAAAAACGGAUCUGAAUUUGACUGAAAUGCACGAUCUUCACAGGUAUCACUUUUCACGAUACCUAAAAGGUGGAAUAGCGAUUUUCGAACCAUUUCCUAUAAGAGAAUGGUUUCCAUUACUUUGAGAAAUGGAUUCUUAUAUCAAACUAUAGCUAUUGCAUUAAAGAAGAAAAGAAACUAAUAGAAGUCGAAGACGCGGAAUGAUAGUGAAUAGAGAGAAAGAUUCUUCUGAUUUUCUUGUUUCUAUCUACUAGACGCCGAAGAGAAUUGAGAAUUUUCAUGUCUUUCAAUUCUCGUACUCGUAAUUGGAAAGUUCUGGAAGGAGACCCAUCAUUUUGCAAUGAAAACAACAUAUAAAACUCUGGACAAUUUCGAAAUCAGGCCAAGCGUCUUAAUACAUAUGCAAAAAAAUUCAUUAUUGGCCCACCAUUGAUUAGAAGAUUUAGCUUGUAUGAAUCGCUAUUGGUUUGAUACGAAUAAUGACAAUCGUUUCAGUAUGUUAAGGAUACAGAUGUAUCCACAAUUCAUUUAGAGUUACUUAAUAGUCUAUUUCUUAUACCAUAUCUCUAUCCCGUGAAAUUCUCGAGCCAAAAGAUGGAUGCAUAUGCUGUGUUUCAUUUUGCUAAAUGAUAUCAAUUAAAUGGUGUAUCAAUUCCAUAAAUUGCAUAUAGCAAUAAAUAAAUCAGCAAAAUUCUUUCUAAUAUUUUAGAUAGAAGAAAUGUUUCUUCUAUCUAAAAUAUUAGAAAGAAUGUACCCUUCUAUCCAAAUCCAAUUUGCAUCGAUAAAAUAAAUCCAAAAAUUUUUCUACCUCCUUUCUUUUUCAUGUAUUUUUCUGAUCAGGAAAAAUACAAAAUUAUGUCAGUUAUUUUGAAGUUAUUCUAAUCUCGUACACACACAAAUUUGCAAUUAUUCAUCUACUACUGGAAUUUGGAUUUAUUUUAUCGAUGCAAAUUGGAUUUGGAUAGAAGGGUACAUUCUUUCUAAUAUUUUAGAUAGAAGAAACAUUUCUUCUAUCUAAAAUAUUAGAAAGAAUUUUGCUGAUUUAUUUAUUGCUAUAUGCAAUUUAUGGAAUUGAUACACCAUUUAAUUGAUAUCAUUUAGCAAAAUGAAACACAGCAUAUGCAUCCAUCUUUUGGCUCGAGAAUUUCACGGGAUAGAGAUAUGGUAUAAGAAAUAGACUAUUAAGUAACUCUAAAUGAAUUGUGGAUAUAUCUGUAUCCUUAACAUACUGAAACGAUUGUCAUUAUUCGUAUCAAACCAAUAGCGAUUCAUACAAGCUAAAUCUUCUAAUCAAUGGUGGGCCAAUAAUGAAUUUUUUUGCAUAUGUAUUAAGACGCUUGGCCUGAUUUCGAAAUUGUCCAGAGUUUUAUAUGUUGUUUUCAUUGCAAAAUGAUGGGUCUCCUUCCAGAACUUUCCAAUUACGAGUACGAGAAUUGAAAGACAUGAAAAUUCUCAAUUCUCUACGGCGUCUAGUAGAUAGAAACAAGAAAAUCAGAAGAAUCUUUCUCUCUAUUCACUAUCAUUCCGCGUCUUCGACUUCUAUUAGUUUCUUUUCUUCUUUAAUGCAAUAGCUAUAGUUUGAUAUAAGAAUCCAUGUCUCAAAGUAAUGGAAACCAUUCUCUUAUAGGAAAUGGUUCGAAAAUCGCUAUUCCACCUUUUAGGUAUCGUGAAAAGUGAUACCUGUGAAGAUCGUGCAUUUCAGUCAAAUUCAGAUCCGUUUUUCGAGUCCAUGAUAUAAUAUAACCAAAUUGGAUAGAUCUUCCACCUGUUUAGCUAAGAAAGAAUAGAUACAGAGGUGGAUAAUAGAUCGAUAUGAAGAUCAUGAGCUGCCCCAUAAUGAAAUCGCCAGUAGUCGCGAAUAUCUCCUUCUUCCCUAAUCCAAGAUUGGAGAAAGAAGAUCUAAGAGGGACCUAUGGAGAAUGUAGUCAGAAAUCCAUAAUAGAGUCCGACCACAAUGACCGAAUUAAUUAUCCUCAUCGAGAAACUUAGACUACUAAAUAGAAAAGAUUUGAAAAUCAUGGCAUGGGUCUCCUUUUUUUCUUUCUUUAGAGUUUUCUAUAUGCACAAUUUCUCGAUGUUUCGAUGAGAAUUUCUUGACUUUCCAUAUAUAGAAAGAGAUAGACUAUAAAUGACAUCUCUUAUGUCAAUAAGACCAAAGGGAUGGAUAUUAAAUGAUAGGAAGUGCUAGGAAGUGAAAUAGAAUGAAAUAGAGCCACUUUGGGCUUCCCUAUGAAAUGAGGCAUGGAACGGAGCCACUACGAAGAAAUUAUGGGAGUUACGAAAGAAGCUUCGGACUCAUAUUGUUCAUGGGUUGAGAGCGGGAGUUGAACUCUACGAGGUCGAAUCCCCCCUUGUUCCUCAGUAGCUCAGUGGUAGAGCGGUCGGCUGUUAACUGACUGGUCGUAGGUUCGAAUCCUACUUGGGGAGAU